GUCAGGAGCUGAUCAGGAAAGUGACAGUAAAACAAAACCUUCUUCCGUGUUCUGGCCAGCCUAAGUAUCGGAAUGCAAGCAGACACCUGGUCGCAGAUGAAGGCGUCGGCGUGCUCCCCGCUGAGCAGGAGGACGUAGAGCGCCACGAAGGCCAUUCGCAGCGCGGCGCACACCGCGUGCCCGCGGCCCCACAGGCUGCGAGGCAGCCAGGCCCCGGCGCAGCGCAGCGCCAGCCGCCGCGUCUCGGCGAAGCAGCGCCCGGGGUCGUAGUGCGCCGUCCACACCUGCACCCGGCAGCCCCGGGCCUGCAGAGCCAGCGCCGCGUCCACCACCAGCCGCUCCGCGCCGCCCAGCCCCAGGUCCGGGUGCAGGAAUAGCACGGACGGGCCGCUCGUCUCCUCCUCCUCCUCCCGCUCCGCCAUGGCGCCGAGCGGCAGCGCGCACGCGCCGCCAACAGGCUCUAGGGCCACGUCAGCCUGUCCUGCCGGGCCGCCCCUCCACCUCCCCUACCGGGCUGCCCUGAUACUGCCGGGCGGCUCGUCUCAUGCCUUCUCGGUGCUGACACCCCAGCCUGGCCAUCUGCGGGGACGAAGACUCCAUGUGAAGGGGUCUCGUUAGGAAAGAGGCCCUACAGCGGGCGGAGAGGAG
rnacentral:lncRNA from 1 species